CUUAUGAUUCCACAUUUGCAUGUGCGUCUGCCAUAGCAUUUCCAACUUUAAUAUGUACCAAAAACCCAUUUUCUGCAACCCUUGCUCUCAUCGUAUUCCAUGAGACUGUAUCUCUAUGAGGCUUUUUUAUCAAACAAUUUAAGUGCAUUGUCUGUGAUGGUGUCUUUGUGCUGCUAUUAUUGUUCUACUAUGCCUGUCUUUAAACCUUUGUCAUAGCUGCAUUAGUAUGGUCAUGAACCAGAUCUUAAUGGGAGAAUUAUUUUUCAUCUUUUCCUAGCCAUAUAGAUUAUUGCUGGAGAUUCAAGAAUCUCAAGCCGUUCUUUAUUUCUCCCUUUACUUCUGAAGGGUUGUUUUAUUUUGAACAAUUCGCAUGCGGUUGGUUCCUGGUGUUGCUGCCUUGUUUGAAGGUUGGGUGGGACCGUGGAGAAAGAAUGGCUGGUGGUGGGACAGGGAGAAGGUGUCGGGUUUGAGGGUAAAGGGGUUAAGGGUGGAGGCUUUAGAGUGAGGUUUCUUGUGGGCUGGAGCCCUACCCAUCCCGAUUCUCUCGGGGCAUAGUUCGGUGAUUCAAUUCAAUAGUCAGAUUUACCGGUGAUUCAAUAGGGUUAUCGGUGAUUCAAUAGGGCCGGUAGAGCAUCUGGCAAUCUUCGAUCCGUUCCCCACUUGCUACAGACUACUAAUCUAGUAGAAUAAAAUAGAAACUAGGUACUCAACUGUUCCUACCUAUCUAUAAGGAGGACGAGGGGGAGCCCUGAACUAUUACUAUUAUCUGGGGUGGGGGUGGCCAGGCAUACAGUUGACACUCAAGCGUGGCAUUGAUCAUCCUUCUCUAAAGUAGCCGUUGGCAUAAACCAUUCCUUAUUGAUUUGUUGGUCCUGAUGUGAUCGAUUACCGGGACACUUUAAAACAACAAGUAAUAUGGAGGGAGAUCUCAUAACACAAGCAUGAUGAUCCCGUUGCAUAGGCAGAAGAAUCAGAGCACUCUGAACAGAGCUCUGAACGAAACCUAUUUCCUUGAUGUGCUCCAAAAGAUUACCCCAGGAAAACUGGUAGUUGCCCUCUUCAUAUCUUCCCCCCACCUCAAUCAACAUCUAGUUGGGAAAGAGGAGAGGGUCGGCCCAUUGCUAGCGAGUCUCAUCUGGCUUAACUAGCGGGCCCAUUUUGUUUUCUCCAAAACCCAGUAAGUAAUUGCUCUAGAGGUGGAGAUACAGGUGGAAGUUCAGGCAUCGUUAGUUGUUUUGGGAUCUUCAAAGUAAAAUUCUAAAAAGUAGCUAAGAGGAAUGAUUUCAAGUGCAUAUUCUAAUAAUAACAAGGUUGUUGAAUAUGAGGUGAUAUCUGUUUAUAGUUCAGUACUCUCUUUUUUAAAAAUAUUUUGGAGUCCAAUUUUGAAUUUAAUGCCUUUAUAUGUUGUUCUUCGAAUCCAUAUCUAUCAGUAGAUUGCAGUCCUCUUUGAAAAUUAAGCAAAAAUGAAUAUUAGUUAUUAAAUAUAUAUGAUUCUUAGUUCGUCUUCCCUUUUAGUGACGGAUAUUGUUCAUUACUGCUUCUUUUUUCUUGGCUCUGGGAUUACUGAUAAUGUAAAUAUUUUUACAGAGGAAGUUCAAUUAUGUUAUACUAUAUUUAAUAAAAUAAUAAGCAUUCUAAAACUAAAACUCUGUUUUGCAUGCCUCAUUUAUGUCUAGCAAAGGUCUUAAAAUUGAUUUUGAAGUGGUGAAGCUCUGGGCUCAAAUGUGUGUGCUUCUUUCUCAAAUACUCGUCUGGGUUACUACCUUAAUCUCUAAGUGAGCUUUUUUGGCUAUCAAACUGAGCAUAGCUAAAGGCAUUCAUUUGAGUUUUUAGGAUAUAGGAUGUUGGUAAUAACACAACCAACUGAUGUCAGUAUACUACAGUAAAUGAGGUCAUAGUUGUUGUGGUUAGGACUUUAGCAAUUUGAUUGGAAAUUAUUAACAUACGUGUGGGAAUUGAUUUACAUGAAUGUGGAAUAUGAAUUUGAACUUUCUUGGUUUUAUACUCUAUGUUAUGUUGUUGAUACAGUUGCAGGUUUUAGAAAUAGGUGUUUUUUCUCACAACUUCAAGGUAUACUCCAUAAUUGCACAUAAUUUAAAAUCAGUCGUUUGGCACAUGCAUGCUUUUUACUUCCCUUCAUUUAUCUUCUGGCAUUACCUCCAUUUCAAAGUCGGUGUUAAGGUGUUAGCAUGAUAAAUGAGAUGAUUUUUUGGGAGAUGCAUAAUGUAAAAAUCUCCUUUCCAUCGAAACAUAAACCUCCCUUAGACAACUAUUUCUAAUUAAUUAUGCUAUCACAUAUUAAUUUUACCCCUAGUGCAUGCAGCAUCAGGCAUGUUGGAUUGCAUAAUUUUACCCAGGGGUUUGAAUUUGGGUCUAUACUUUUAAACCCAUAUGUUUCACCACAUGAGCUCAUUCCAUUUGAUGGGAACUACUUACCCACUAUAGUCGGACUUCUAGAUUCUUGUCUAAAUUAUAGUUGCAAAGUGGGAUGUUUGAGUUUAUCUCUGGGGAUACUCCUUCUUGAAGACUUGUAACUCUUUGCCAAGGUUUUCCACAUAUGCAGGGGUCAUUCUUGAGUACUAUAUAUAUGCGUACGAGUAAAUGAAUGAUGUAAUUCAGUUGAGCAUAUCAGCUUUUCAGUUUGUCAAAUAUCACUACUUUCUUUAGCUGACUGCUUAAUCGUGACAAACUAAAAUUCUUUUAGCAUGGAAACUAAUAUUGAAAACUUCAUCAAAAUUUGUUGCCAGUUGUUACUGUUAUAGCACAAUUUCCUACUAUUAUAGAAUAAUUUUGUGACCAAAAAACAAAAAAUAAUGCCUCUUUAUCUGAAUUGAUGUUCUUGGUGAGUCGCUACACUUCAGUUCUUUCACAACAUGAAGAAAUGUUUGGAGCCUUUGUCACCAUAAAGUUACAGGCGUUCAGACAGAGAUUUUGGUAGUCUGGCCUAGUCCUUGGCAAGUCCCAACACUUUAGUUCUUUCUAUAUAUUGUUCUCAGAAUAUGAAGAAAUGUUUGGAGCCUUUGUAACCAUAAAGUUCCAGGUGUACCUCAUACAAAGAUUUUGUUAGUCUAGCUAAGUCCUUGGGAAGUCCCAACACUUUACUUCUUUCUAUAUAUUGUUUUCAAAAUAUGAAGAAAAUGUUUGGAGCCUUUAUCACCAUAAGGUUCCAGUUUUCGUAGCUUGAACACUCUAGUCAUGAGUACUGUAAAGUUUUUAUCUUUUUAUGCCAGUCUUUAAUAAAUUGAAAACUUAGAUAAAUUAAAGUCAAACAUUACAUUUUUUUGUUUGAAGUUUAAUUUUAUUAUACUGAAGAAACAGUACUAAGUUCUUUCUUUCCUUUUUCUUUAUUCUUAUUUUGUUCCAAACUCUACAAAAACUGUAAACAACAAUUUAGUUUUGGACAAGACUGCAAUUCCUUCCUUUUAGUUUUUACUUGGAUUCUAGGAAAUGUGAAGCAGUCACCAAAAUGAGAAAUUGUGGAACUGUAUCCAGUGGGAGUUCCAUAAUCACCUCAAAUCUCAAUUGGGAGUGACCUAAAUCCUUGUUUUAUGUGAUAUUCUCAAUAAUCAAUUACUGUCUUUUCUAGAUUUUUGUUUUCUACUUUGUUUAUGAUCAAAUGAAUAACUGAAACAAACUGAAAUAAUAUAUAUUUGUUGUUAUGACUUGUCUAUUCAUUAUGGAAACUGAGUUGACUGAAACAAUACAUAACUACCAUCUUGGAACUGUUGGUGAAGAAGACUAAAAAAUAAAUGUUUUACAAUGUAUCCAAUAUAAUCUCAUACCUGACAAGUUCAAUACGUUGUUCAAUACAUCCUGAUACCUUUUUCAGACAAUAUUAGUUAUAGCCUAUUGUGCCAAUGGCACCAUCUUCUAAUAGUAGAUAUUGAUUGACUAAAAUAUCGUUUGCACUUGGCACAUAUUUGAUGCAUGAUUAAGCACCCUUCUUGACUGCCUAGAAUACUUGUCACUUGCAUACAGUCACUUAGUCCCUCCUUUGUCACCCAACAAGGGUAUGAUUAUUGUGGCUAAGCGUUGACAAAUCUGAAGUGUUAUCAGGUGGAUGUAGAGCGGCUUAACUGUAGAUCUCUCUCCUAGCUGGUGGCACAAUGUAAUUAGUUUUGCACAGAUGCCAAAUUUGCCCUCUAGUGGUGUCACCUUCCUAUGGUGCACAAUUCUUCUAUAUUCCUAUGACCUGUAGUGAUGGUUUAUCUCCAAUAAUUCCUUAUAUGACUUGGAAAUAACUUGCUGAUCCUGCUCACAAAUUUGAGUCCUUCAACCUGAAAUAUUUUUAAAUAAACUCUUGCAUUGUGCUGCAAAUACCUGAGUGGAAAUUGUGAAGAAGAGGGUAGGGUUUCUUCCUUAACCUCUAAAAAUGCCAUCAAGGGGCUUCGUUGUUGUAGGUGUGAGAGCUAGAAUCUCAAACAAUAAAUAAGAAUAUGGAAAAUCAGAUGAUCCAACUGAGCAAAUGAAACUUGUAAAAAUACGUACAUGAAACUUGCAAAAAUACGUACAUGAAACUUGCAAAUGAUAACAAAGAAUAUACAUACCCUUCAAAUCCACCUUCCAUAUUGGUUUGUUGGAUAUACAUACCCUGUUUCAAAGCUCCCAUUUAAUCAAUAGUAGGGAGAACGCUGGUAAAGGUUGUGGAAUCUGGUUUUACACCUGCUAAUUGCAUUUGCUUGGAAGUCUCUUAAACUUUUUCAACAAGUCCAUUUUGUGCAUAUCUUACAAUCAUUUCAGUCCUUGAGACCACAUUUCUUUCAGGGAUACCGUUGUGCCUUGUCUUCUUCCACAUUUUGCAAGCAUGCCUAUAAGAACAGUUGCAACUGCAACAUAUGAAAAAAAUCUUCUAUCCUUUAUGCUUUGAUGGAUGUUCAUACCUUGUUUCAGAGUUCCCAUUUUGGCAUGAAUAGGGAUGAUGCUAGCAAAGGUUGUGAAAUUUGGCUUUACACCUACCAAGUGCACUUUCUUCAAAGUUUCUAAAGCCUUUUCAACAAAUCAUAAGCUUCUAAAAUCUUCCUCAAAAUAACGAAAGUCUGAUACUGCUUUAGGACAAUUAUCCAUCUGCACGAUGUCUUUACUUUUAUCUCAGGGUCUUCAUGAAACUCUGCAUACCUCUGUCAUUAGCUAGGAUGCAAUUAUUUUAUGGUCUUCACUAUAUUGUUAAUGAUGAAAAUGACAAUAAAGUUGCUAUUAUCCUUCCUUAAGAUGGCUUUAGUGUAACAAGUUAAAGCCACCACAAAGUGGGAUAGGUUGUAACCACCACUAAUUGAAGAGCAGAGCUCCAUGCCAAAUUAUAGCCCAGAUGAUCAUCUUAGUUGUGGUUGAAUUAUGGUCAUCUUAGCUAUUAGUGGAUGAUACCACCUUUUUAGUAGGGUGAGAUCAGCCACGGCUGAUUUUUCUUGAUUACUUGCACUUGGGCCCAAUAGAGUUAUUGUAGCCAUUUUAGUCUACGUAUGUGAGUCUAAAUUAUAGUCUGAAAGUUGAGACCGAUAUGUUGAUUUUCAAAGAAGGGAAACAUUGCUAAGUGUCAAAUUUUUCUAGAAGUGGAUGAUACAGAAUUAUCAGAAAUGGGUAGAAACUUGCUAGUUCAAUCUACUUGGGUAAUAUUAAUAGUAGUCAUGUGCCUCACAAAUACCCUUAGUUUCUAGUUGUGAAAUUUUAGUAGUAGUCACGGGCUUCACCAAUACCCCCUAUGAAAUUAGACACUCAUUUUUGGGGUAGUGAAGUGGAACAAUAAACCAGAUUCUUUGGUUUGGCCUUCAAGCAAGUUAUACGAGAUAUUUUUGAUGAUAUUUAAACCUAUCUAUUAUGAAUUAAAAGUAGUUCUGGUUGUGGUAAUGUUGAUUGAAUGGUAUGCUAAAUUUGUGUUUAUGUUUGUCAAUAUGUGUGACUGCUUGAAUGAACUUUAAAUUCUCUAUUUUUCCUAAAAUGACCAUAGAUAAAAGGGAUGAAAUUGCAUAGAAUCCUUUGGCUUCAUCAUGAUUGUAAUCCAUUCAUGCCAAAGUAAUUUAUUCAAGGUAUUUAUGACUUCAACCUUAGAAAGUAAAUUAACAAAUAUUUCUGUCAGUAGGAAUUUAGAAACUAAAUUAACAAAUAAUUUUGUCUAUCAUCAUAAGAAAUAUUUUAACAGAGUUCUAUUUUUUCCUUGAUCGAAUCAUCACAAGAAAUUGGACAAGUGCGAGCGUGAGUCUAAAGAAACUAUCCUUUGCCACCAUCUACGAUUUUCAAUUCGGUUAAAUGUUGAGAUCACUCUGGUUGGAAGUCUGGAAUCGUGGUAAAAUAGGACGCAUACUGUUGCAUCUUCUUUGUGUGUGGAAUCCUCAUCUCCUUGAACCUGGGAAGAUAUAUGUAUCUGGGAGCAUCCACAACCAUCUGUUUGCGAACAGCAGACCAUAUCCCAUCUGCCCCAAUCAAAAGUUUGCAGGGAACCACCUUGAUUCUAUGAUCUUCUGUACCCUCUUUGGGGCACUUAACAGAGUUCUAUUUUUUCCUUGAUCGAAUCAUCACAAGAAAUUGGACAAGUGCAAGCGUGAGUCUAAAGAAACUAUCCUUUGCCACCAUCUACAAUUUUCAAUUCGGGGAGAUGAAGGUAACAGAGAAGCUAUAGCACAAAUAUUGCAAAGUGUGGAGAAGGCACGCCGGAUGGUUGGAGGAUUAGCUCUUGUAGCCUUCUUGCUAGACCAGAUUGAAGAGAUCUCUGAAAACCGGAGUGAAUACAUUGAACUCUUAAGACAAAUGUUUAAGCUUGCUGGGUAUAUCAGAAGGAUGAUGUUUUUGAAGGGUUUUGUGAACCACGAAGGCUUGGGCACUGUAAAAUUGAAAAUAAAGCAGCUUCAUCAGGAUCUUACAUUGUGAGCGCUAAUAGAAAUACAACAGAUCAACAGCCUGUUGCUUUCUCUCCAUGGAAGCCUACUUAUACAGAUCAUGCAGGUACGACAACAAUUCAGAGAAAUCUUUCUAGAAAUGGGAUUUGAAGAGAUGCCGACAAAUAACUUUGUUGAGAGUAGUUGGCAUCCAAAAGUAGAAGAAACAAUUAAUGAAUUUGCUAGACAUGGAAACAAAGAACAAGUCUCCAUUGGCUGUAGUUAUUUAUGGAUUUGGCGGCAUAGGAAAGACCACCCUCGCCACCGCUGUUAUUGCUGACUUAGAUCUCACAAUUACAACUAUUCAGGAGUUCAAAUGCAAGAAGACAGCUCCAGGAACGUCAUAAAAUGCAUGCAGCAGCAAAUAUUGAAAGAUGCCUUCCCAGCAUAUAAUGACAGAAAUUUAACAUUGAGAAAUAGUGCUCACAAAAUGCAUGCAGCAGCAAAUAUUGUUGGAGCUGAGGAGGUCACACAUCUGGAAGAAGCGGCUUUGUUCAAGACAUUCGACAAAGGCAACGUUAUUGUUCUUGAUACCUUCCAAGCAAAAGGGUUGAGUAUGUCUGAAUCGAAUAGAAUAACUAAUAUGCAAUCCUGGCUUGAUGUUUUAUGCGACAAUAAGAGGCUCGAUCAAAUUUAAAGGAAACUGGCUUACCAAGGAGGAGACUGAACCUGUGUACGAACUUGAUGAGAAGCCUGGCCUUGGGGAACAAGAUAAAUGUAUCAGGGUCAAGCCAAAAGACACCCAAAUUUAAAGAACUGAAAUUUCUCAAACUAGGUGGCGACAUGUCUGGUUUAUGGCCAGUAAAUUUGGAGUGCCUUGAGCGGUUGGCUGUGUACUAUGGCCCUGUCUUUAAGGAUGUUCAUGUCUUAUUGAUCUAUUAAAAAAAUUCAUUGCCUUGCCCAAGUGAAAUGGGGCCAUGUAAGGUGUAUGUACUAUAUACUGAGCCAAAGCCUCCUCCAAGAUUGUAAGCUGCUAAAAAUGGCUCUAUCUAGUCAUGUGAAGUUCGAUUCUAUUGUGCUCA